AAACUCGAAUGAACGAACGGAGAGAUUCAUCGACAUCCAUCGCAAGGCGUACGUACGCGUGCCUCGAUGUCGUGCGGCACGCUCCUCGCGGGCGCUCCGAGCGGUACAGCACGCGUCCGUCACGUCCUAUGGCGUCGUGCACUUCUCUCUUAGUAAUGCAUCGCGACCCGUUCCCUAUUAAAGCGUCGGCUUAAGCGUCGUCCGAUUCGCCCAGCGGCCUCGGCCGCUGGACCGCGACGAUCGCCGGCCGACCGGGGACGGUAUCGGUAUGAAACGCGCACGCGCCUCGCGCGCGUCCGGCCCGACGCAAGUUUUCGUGCGCCGUUUCGCUGUCCUGCCCGAGUGCGGACAGUGAACCGGCGCCGCUGUCGUCGCAGCCGUGCUGUCUCGGACGGUGCGCGUCUCAGUCUGCGAUGGGUC
rnacentral:rRNA from 1 species